rnacentral:rRNA from 1 species
UACGUAGGGGGCAAGCGUUGUCCGGAUUUAUUGGGCGUAAAGAGCUCGUAGGUGGUUCGGUAAGUCGGAUGUGAAAAUCCCGGGGCUCAACCCCCGGGCCUGCAUCCGAUACUCCCGGGCUGGAGGCAGGUAGGGGAGAAUGGAAUUCCUGGUGUAGCGGUGGAAUGCGCAGAUAUCAGGAGGAACACCGAUGGCGAAGGCAGUUCUCUGGGCCGUAACUGACGCUGAGGAGCGAAAGCGUGGGGAGCGAACAGG